GUCUACAGCCAUUCCACCCUGAACGUGCCCUAUCUCAUCUGAUCUCAGAAGCUAAGCAGGGUUGGGCCUGGUUAGUGGUUGGAUGGGAGAGACAGCAGUAUCAUUGAUAAUGCCAGAAGACUUCGUGUCAUGUAGCUA
rnacentral:rRNA from 1 species